UACGUAGGGGGCAAGCGUUGUCCGGAAUCACUGGGCGUAAAGCGCGCGCAGGCGGCUAUCUACGUCAGGGGUGAAAGCCCAGAGCUCAACUCUGGGACUGCCUUGGAUACGGGAUCGCUUGAGGAUCGGAGAGGCAAGGGGAAUUCCACGUGUAGCGGUGAAAUGCGUAGAGAUGUGGAGGAACACCUGUGGCGAAGGCGCCUUGCUGGCCGAUUUCUGACGCUGAGGCGCGAAAGCGUGGGGAGCAAACAGG
rnacentral:rRNA from 1 species